GUUUUUUUUUUGGUCAGUGAUCCGAUUGACAUAAUUUUUAUCUCUCUAGUUUUCUUCAUGUAAUGGAGAAGUCAGACAUCAAUAUUUAGAUCGGGCUACCACUUGACGGUGUUAUUUAAUAAUUCAGGAUUAUGGCCCAGUUUGGGAUUGAUUCUGGACCUGCUUCUGAACCUGCUUCUGCUUUUGAGUUUAUGUUAUGCUGUUUGGUAAAUUGUCUAGGAAGUGCUUUUGGUCCAAUUUGCUUCUCCUAGAAUCUGAAAUUGAGAAGCACCCAAGUACCAGCUUUGGGAAGCUGCUUCUGUCAAAACACAGAGUGAACAGUAUUGAUUAAAUGAAAGUUUCUCCUUUUUCCUAUUGUGUCCUCAUCUUUUCUAUAGGGUUUCGUUUCUUCCUUCUCUCUUCCCAGAUCUCUCUUCCCAGCCUCCUCCUCAAAACCAUCGAUCGAUUUGGUUAAGAGCAUCUCUCUUCCCAGCCUCUUCCUCAAAACCAUCGAUCUAACUUCUUCCCCAAAGCAAACCAUCGAUCGAUCUCUCAAGAGGAUUCAAAACCCAACUCCAUCGCUCCUCCGCCACACGCCCCAAACCCAAAGCAUUCCCGGAUCGAUCUCUCUGUCUCUUCAAAACCCAACUCCUCAUGGAUGGUUUUUGGGAGGAGGUGGACGGUUCCGGCCCUUCAAAGACCUCCUACGCGCCUUAUGUAUUCGAUGAGAUGCGCCAUUGGUUGAGGUCUCUUGAAGCUCAGGACCGCAAGAAGAUAUUGGCCAUAGAGCAGAAGGAGGCGUAGAUGUUGGCCCUCAUGGAGAAGGAGGCGGGGAUGUUGGCCCGCAUGGAUACUGCGAGGGAGAUGGAGACUGGCGGCCCUGCUGGUGGCGCGUUUGGAGUGACCUCUUUCACUAACUUCUUCCCCAAAGAACGAGCUCAACAGAUUUCAAAAAGCGCAUCGCCUGUGGAGCAUUUUCGUCAGGCAUUGCAGCAGGGGCUGUGAAGUGCAUUGGCACUCCUUGCAGAGAAGAAGAGGAAAAUGGAAUAAGAAGAAGUCGUAUGGAAUGUUUGCUGACUAUCAAAGGCAUCGAGCUCAACAAGGGCAGCAAGAACAAGGAGACCUUGGAAAUGUUCCUAUUGGCAAUUCGUUGUUCUGCGAAUCUGAAGAAAUAAUUAGGAUCACUAAUCUUCACAGCUAUAUUGAACAUUCACAUGUUGAAAUCAGAAUUGUUUGAUGGUUAUGACUAUUUUAAUUAACUAGAUAGUUCUUACUGAUUGGAAAUUCCCCUGAGCCUUCAUAUCAACAAUUUCUUCUACUUAAAUGGCCUUAUCAUGUAAUCAUAUUAGACAAUGUUUACACAAGUGGUACAUAUUAGACAAUGAGGCACCUGUAUUUGGUCACUUUGCACAAGUGGUACAUAUUAGACAA